rnacentral:rRNA from 1 species
UACGAGGGGAGCAAGCGUUGUUCGGAUUUACUGGGCGUAAAGGGCGCGUAGGCGGCCACGACAAGUCACUUGUGAAAUCUCCGGGCUUAACUCGGAACGGUCAAGUGAUACUGUCGGGCUAGAGUACAGAAGGGGCAACUGGAAUUCUCGGUGUAGCGGUGAAAUGCGCAGAUAUCAGGAGGAACACCUAUUGCGAAGGCAGCUCGCUGGGACGUAACUGACGCUGAGACGCGAAAGCGUGGGGAGCAAACAGG